AGUCUCUGGUUGGUGCAAAAGGGCGGGCGUUGCUCAGUGCUCACACAGCGACAGCGUCAUCAUGGACAAACCUCCCAAAUCUCAGCCUGAGGAAGAAUCACCAUGGCCGUACCACUGACUAGCUCCGUCGACAAAACCUACGUUUUUACUUGUGAGCUAUGCAAGCCAAGAGUAAAUGCACUCUCUACUGCAAAGACAUCAAACACAAAUCUAAGAACAAAGAUUCCUUGGGUCCUGCUGAAUUCAACAUAUUUUAACCAUCUCUUCCUAGACCAUUGACCAGAUCACCAUGAAAUUUGAUUCCUUGGGUCCUGCUGAAUUCAACAUAUUUUAACCAUCUCUUCCUGGACCAUUGACCAGAUCACCAUGAAAUUUGAGUUCUCUACAUUUGGUGCAACAGCUCAAAUGGAAACUACAGCAGAAGAUCAGAAUAAAGCUCCCACACAUGGUCUUAUGACUGUUGCCCCAGUGAAGAACCCGAGGUCCAGCCUUCCCCACUCAAGACAUGCCUGAGACAAGAGUGACUGUAUUCCAAGUUCCAUUAUUCCACGUUGAACAAUGCAUGGGAGGCCUGUGAAUUUGGGCAGUGUGAUUUGGAACUGUAUAGUACGUAAUAAGACUCUAUUGAGCUCUUAUAACCUUAUUAAAUAGCUAACAUGGACAGCAUUUUAGAAAAUUAAGUAACAUGAAAAAAUGAAUGUGACAUGUCUUUAGGGGUGAUUACAAGCCCUUAAAAAGUCCUACAUUGUCUUAAAUUUAUUUUUGUUCAUGAAAUUGUCUAAUACAUCAUGACAGUUGAAUAUAUCAUGGUGUAUUUAUCUGUGGUUACAAUGUGUUUGUAUUUCAAUGGUAAAAGCCCACAAUGUGUCCUUUUCUUGGACCAGAAUAAACAUUUGGACAAAUGUCAAUGUUGUUGUUUUAGAUAACUGUAAAAAUGUCAAUUAGCUGAGAGUACAACUUGCCUGUGCUUACUUGUGUGGCAAACUGUCUUAAAUGUUAUUCUAAGAAGCAUUUAAAAUGUCUAAAAAGCCUUAAAUUUAACUUGCUAAUGCCUGCAGACAUCCUACUUUAAUAUGUGGGGGAUCGUAACUUAAAUGUAGUUCACUGCUUGAAAAAGACAAAAAUACUCAACACUGUUAUAAUGUUGAAAUAAUUGGUCUAUGGUUAUUACUGUCCUGAAACUACAACAAUGCAAGACAAUGCAUAUUUUAUUGACAAGGAGUUUUGGGUGUUUUAAAUUUAGUUCUUGUGCACUUCAAUCUGUUGACAUAUCAAUACAUUUAUCAGAAAAAUACUAGGGAGGACGUAGUCAUGAUAUUCUGUCAAUAUGCUGCAGUUGAUGCUUAUGAUGGUGGUGGAGAUGAUUAUGGUGAUGAGGAGGUACUGCAUAUUAUACUAGCACAUAUGCUUUGGGGGACCUGCUAUAGACAUUACACUAGUGCAAGUCACCCUUUUUAUGUUGUUUUUGUAUCUAGUUUUGUAUGUUUGUCUCAUCUUCUGUACCAUAAUUAUGCUUGCUUCAGCACAUAUUGCGUACCUGGAAAUGUAACUUGAACCUGA